UUUCUUUUUCUUUUUUUUUGUUUUGAAAACUUCCUUACUGUUUGGUAGAUGAGGUUUAUUUUUGGAAAGUGGUAGAUCUUUUAAAAAAUGUUUAUGAUUCAGGUAAAUUUAUACUUUGGCUUCAAUUCUGGCUGGUUGGUCUACUUGUUUGAAGCCACUCCUGUUCAACUUUGAUUUUAUGGGAUGAUGAAGGAUACAAGGAUAAUUAAUCUAGAAUUAAGUGAAUUGAAAUUUGUCUUGGAUUUUAGAAUUUAUUUACAGCCAUUAGAUUUUUGUAUAAGAUAGUUAGUUGAGACAGCAGCUGAUUGAGUGCAUUUUGACUCCUUGUUUACUCGUACAAAAUGAUUGACCUUUUUUAUUUUCUUAGGGUUGCGAGGGAGCUGUUAAUCUCUUGUCCUAAGUGUGAGCUAUACGCUCUUAUCUUGGUGAAAUUCAUCAUGACACGAUAUUUAAGCCUAAAGCAAACUUAUAUCUAGGUGCUUCAGUGGCAUAUACCCAUUCUCUGUAAAAGAUUGAGCUUUUCUUGUCUGGGUUUAAUGUCACUAUUAUGCAUGUACCUGUUGGAGUUGUACAUUUUCUUACUUUUAUGGUAUGCUGAGCAAGUAGAAAAAAUCAUUUUUUUAAUAAGAAUUUUUUUUUUGAGUUUGGUAUUGCUGUUGAAAAUCUUGAGAUUUAUUUAUGCAAUUGUUUGGCUCUUUUAAUUUGCAUGUCUCGUUUCUUGAACCAAUUUGGCUGUGCACACUGUUGCCUUGAUAGGGGAUUAGCUUAUGAAUUUGAGUGGCUAGAUUACUAAUCCUCUUCAUCCAUAGUUCAGAAAACGAGUUAUUAUUCUACCUAUGUUUUAUUUUUGCACAUGAAUGUUAAUAACAUACUUUUCAUCAGGUGACCAUAUGUUUUAUGUCUGAGAUACCUGUCAUAUAAGCAGCUAGGGAGUGAUGUAAUCUGGGUUUGAAUUUUCAAAGGCAGGGUGCCCAGAUGCUUGGUGUUUCUUUGAAUGAUUAAAUAUAGGAACAUUCUCCAAUCUACAUAGUUUUGUGACAAGUGUGUCUUGACAUCAAGCCUGUAGCUACUGUGUGAGUGCCAAAGUCAUUUUGAGGGAGAUUUUGAAUUUUAGAAGAUGUAGGGUGCCCUGCAAAGUUUUUCAUGGGCUCAAGAGUUGCUUACUGAUAUUUCUAGAUUAGUGGGAAAUAUUUUACAUUUGUUUUAAUUCUAAAAAUGGCAUGCAUUUCAGAUCUUGGAUUUGCUGGUGGCA
rnacentral:misc_RNA from 1 species